rnacentral:misc_RNA from 1 species
GAGAAUAUGAGAGAGUGGGGGGUCAAACCUGCUCUUUUGUUUCUUGUGAACUAGUUGUUGGUCUGUUAUUUUUGAGUUGGGGAGGGGGGAAGAUCAAGGAGUAUGACUAGCUGUUGGGUUACUGUUUGUCAUGGCUAGUGCUGCAACUUUAUGGACCUCUUCUUUCCUUGGCUUGAGAGUAACAUGCUAGCAAUUUUUACUGUUUGUCAUUUUUUUUUUUUACUGUUGUUAAAUAAGA